UACGUAGGGUGCGAGCGUUAAUCGGAAUUACUGGGCGUAAAGCGUGCGCAGGCGGCGCGUUAAGACAGGUGUGAAAGCCCCGAGCUUAACUUGGGAAUUGCGCUUGUGACUGGCGUGCUGGAGUGUGGCAGAGGGAGGUGGAAUUCCACGUGUAGCAGUGAAAUGCGUAGAGAUGUGGAGGAACACCGAUGGCGAAGGCAGCCUCCUGGGCUAGUACUGACGCUCAUGCACGAAAGCGUGGGGAGCAAACAGG
rnacentral:rRNA from 1 species